rnacentral:rRNA from 1 species
CAGUCGCCGCGGUAAUACGAAGGGUGCAAGCGUUACUCGGAAUUACUGGGCGUAAAGCGUGCGUAGGUGGUGGUUUAAGUCCGUUGUGAAAGCCCUGGGCUCAACCUGGGAAUUGCAGUGGAUACAGGGUCACUAGAGUGUGGUAGAGGAUAGUGGAAUUUCCGGUGUAGCAGUGAAAUGCGUAGAGAUCGGAAGGAACAUCUGUGGCGAAGGCGACUAUCUGGGCCAACACUGACACUGAGGCACGAAAGCGUGGGGAGCAAACAGGAUUAGAUACCCCUGUAGUCCCUGUCUCUUAUAC